UUCGGGAUGCCGGCGAGUGGCGAACGGGUGCGUAACGCGUGGAUACCUGCCCUGAGGUGGGGGACAACAGCUGGAAACGGCUGCUAAUACCGCAUGCUCCCCAAGGGGGAAAGACUUCGGUCGCCUUGGGAGGGGUCCGUGUCAGAUUAGCUAGUUGGUGAGGUAAAGGCUCACCAAGGCGAUGAUCUGUAGCUGGUCUGAGAGGAUGAUCAGCCACACUGGGACUGAGACACGGCCCAGACUCCUACGGGAGGCAGCAGUGGGGAAUAUUGCGCAAUGGGGGCAACCCUGACGCAGCGAUACCGCGUGGGUGAAGAAGGUCUUCGGAUUGUAAAGCCCUUUCAGUAGGGAAGAUAGUGACGGUACCUACAGAAGAAGCUCCGGCUAACUCCGUGCCAGCAGCCGCGGUAAUACGGAGGGGGCGAGCGUUGUUCGGAAUUACUGGGCGUAAAGGGCGCGUAGGCGGCCUUGCAAG
rnacentral:rRNA from 1 species